GUUAGCUGGAACAUUUGUCGGUCUUGCUGGUGAUAUUGUCUACUGAGUAAUGGUUAAUUCUACUCCUUAAACAGCACCCCACCCCAACAGCAGUGCCUGUUCUCAUCACAAGAAUACUUGCCAAAGAGAGUUGGCACUUGGUGGCAUCAGCUACUGAAGCUCCCUCUGCUGAUGGCCUUUACUUUGUAUGAGUACUUUUUACUUCUGUCUUUGAAAAGUAUUGAAGUGUAUUUCAUCAUCUCUUCAGUCUGUGGACUACAUUUCUUCUAAUGUGUUAUGUUUGUCUUAUAAAAUUCACUUGGUUUUGUUUCCUGAUUCUAGCUAACCUCAAAUUCACUAUGUAGACCAGGCUGGCCUUGAACUCACAAAAAAUCCACUUGCCUCCACCCCCCCCCCCCAAGUCCUGGGAUUAAAACUGUGCUCCACCACACAAGGGCCACUUUGGUAUUCUUAGAGAAAGGAGCAAAGCGAGCCUUUGGAGAGCUGCGUGGAUGCUAGGAAAACAAAUGGCUUUUGCUUCUAUGUGAGAAUGUACAUUCCUUGUUCCUUUAACCUACACAACUGUUACAUGUGACUGAAUCUCAUAGUAGACUGAGUAACUAAUUCAUUUAAAAAUACCAAAGUGCACCAAAAGCCAUUCUAAAACAGUGCCUAUGCAGAAACACAAUUUAUUUUCACCUCCUGAGAGAUAUCUUAAAGCAGUCACUAUGAAUGGACACGUGACCAUUCCAUUUUGUUUAUGAAUAAAGGCGUCUUACUAAAGUAUCCAGAUGUCCCUUCCCACGGUUAGUGCAGGCACACAUUAAGGUAAGGCUGCAGUCACGUAACUGCCCCUGACCACACUGCAGAGGCCCAGAAGGGGUUCAGUCACUUUUAUCUCAGUGCUGGCUUCAUUUACCUUAAACGACGGGCAGUUGACUGACUCCAGGAACUGCAGGGCAUUGGAAUAUAGUGUUCAAGCUUACUAACUUAAAGGAGCUUUGGCUGCUGCUGCUGCUGCUGUCGUCAGUCAGGACUCACACUGUAGCCCAGGCUUGUCUGGAACUGCUGACAGUCCUACCUCAGCCUCCUAAGUGUUGGGACUGCAUGUGUGAGCCACCACAUCUAGCCAGAUUAAAUGACUUUUCUUUCUUUUGUAGUUAUUUUUAGCAUUUCUUUUAACUUUAGAAACAAGAUAUAGUAAUUAAUUUAAAUGACAGGCCAAUAGAGUAUUAGCCUCAAAAAUCAGCAAAAAAAAUUUUUUAAAUGUCACCAUUUUCACCGUGAGACUGUGGCUGUCUUCUACUUAAUAUAUUAAUGUCUGAAGACAUUUCGGGUUUCCCAGAACUCUGCCUUUGGCACACUGGUGAAUUAGGAUAGUCCGAUUCUCCUCACCCAGCCUGCUACAGCGUUCCAUUGGGGUUUCCUCCUGGUGCUGUGCAUAUUUGCUGGUCAGUGAUGACACACACAGGCACAGCCACACCUGAGGAGCAGCUUCGGUGCUCAGCUCUGCCCAGCGAGUCCUCCCCCAGUGAGUCCUCUCCACUGCCUUUUAAAGAAAGGUUUCCAUUUUCUAGAAAGCCUUGGAGUGGACCACCCGUCAUUUCUUGUUUUCUCUUGGUUUCUUUCACUUCAUCUUUAAGUUUCUGCUCAUGUCUUCCUCUCGGAGCACCUGAUAGCCUGUCGUCUAGUUGUGGACGUCUGUGGCACAUUUCAGAUAAUAGUUGCCAUUGCUUCUGAGUAUGGUAUAUAGUAUUUACGCGUGUCAUCAGUCCAUGCAUAUGCCUGUUGAAUACUUGGUCCCUAUCAAUGGCACUGUUUGGGGACACUGGGGAGGUAUGAGAAGUAUGGCCUUAGAAGGAACUGUGUCACUGGUAGUAGGCUUUGAGAAUUGAAAGACCCAUCACUUUGUCCUCCCGUUGGGAGUGUUCCUCUACUGUUGUCCACCUUACUGUUUGGAGACAGGAUCUCUCACUAACCUGGAGCUGUUUUGACUAGACCCUGAUCAUGCAGCAGACUCCUGGAAUCUAAUUGUUUGUUCACCCAGGCUGCAGAUGUGCGCCACCACACAGAGUUUGCCUGGGUGGAGGGGAUCUCCAUGCAGGCCGUCCUGCUUGCUCAGCAAGCACUUUCCCUGCUCAGACACUUCCCUGGCCUUGGUUUUUAUAUGUUGACAAACUGUUGUAGUCGUUACUUUUCUGUUGCUGUGAUAAAACACCAUAGCCAAGAAACCUUAGAGAAGGAAACUUUACUUGGACUCGUAGUCCUCAAGGGGUAGGAGUCCAUAGCAGGAAGUAUCGGGCGUGAUGACACUGAGUGCUGGGCAGCAAUGUCUUUCACUGUUAGCAUGAAGGUGACAGUGCUGUUGGAAAUGGCGUUGGGUCCUUUAACUCUCCGAGCCCACCAUACUUCCUCCAACAAGGCCAUACCUCCAGAAUCUCCCCGAAACAGUGCUACAGGCUGGGGACCAAAUGUUCAAAUACGGGAGCCUAUGGGGGAUAUUUUCGUACAGACCACCAGACUCCAGUACCAGGUGAGCUUCCCAUUUGGUCAUGUUUUGUAAUUCUUGUGGGGUUGUGAUUGGGGGAGCAGCCGGUCUGUACUAUCUCAUACUGUGUUCACGUGGUUUUGGGAUUAGGGUGAAUGCCAACUUGCAAAUUACAUUAGGGAAGGGCCUCUCUGUUUCUAAGAAGUGAUAUUGUAGAGACAGUAUAAUUCACCAGUGAACCCUUUUGAUACUGGUGCUUUGUGUUUGAAGAGACUUAUUUUAUUUUAUUUUUUCUUUACCAGUUGCUGGCCUACUUAGAAUGCUUAUUAUUUCUUUGUCAACUUUAGAAAAUUGUGUAUUUGGUUGCUGUAUUUCUUCUAUAAUAUCCAAACUAUGGGCAACAGAUUGUUCAUGGUUUUUCUUAAUUAUUAUUUCAGAAUAUAUGGGAAUUUCAGUGAUGGCCUGUAUUCCUGACAUUAGAGAAUUGUGUGUUUUUGCUUUUAGCUUGAUUAGCUUGACUAAAUCUUCUUCCUUCCAUUCUUUCUCCCUUUUCGUGUGUGCUUUUAAAGAUACAGGUCUUGCUGCUCCAUACUUUGAACUUAAGAAAGUCUCUUGCCUUCCAGGUAACUGUAGUGUAGGUGUGUACCUCUGUGUCUGUAAGGUCUUCAUUAGUUUCUAACAUUCAGUGCUACACAGUUCUUGCUAAACACUCUUUGUUUACAAGAGUCCAUGAAUUUGGAUAAAAUGCAUUUUUCAGUUUUAUGAAAAUUAAAGCAUUUUCAUUUUUUCUUGAGGUUUCUUCGACUCCCAUGUGAUUAGUUUUGCGUGUUGCUUAAUUGCCCAGUAUUUCAGAAAAUUCCAGCUGUCAUUUUACAAUUUCAUUCCGUGGUGGUUCAAGUCCAGAUUCUGUUUGAUUCCUCCUGUUUUGCUUUGGUUUUGUCUGUGCAUGCACAAGUAUGUAUGCAUAUAUGUAUGUAUGUGUUUCUGUGUGUGUGUGUGUGUAUGUACGUGCAUGUGUAUAUUUGUGUAUGUGUGAAUGUAUAUGUGCGUGUGUAUAUGCGUGUGUAUGUGUAUAUGUAUGUAUGGGUGUGUGCAUGUGUGUAUUUUGUGUGUGUGUGUGUGUGUGUGUGUGUGUGUGUGUGUGUGUGUUCACAUGCAUGGGGAGGCUUGAGGUUAACAUCAAAAGUUUUCCAGUCACCCUUCCCCUUAUUUAUUGUGGCAGAAGCCAGACUUUUGCAGUAUGGUGAGUCUAGCUGUCAAGGCUGCUGCUGGGAUCCCUUGUCUGUCCCUUCCAAUUGCUUGAGUUACAGUGGCUGUCACGCCCUCAAUAUUUGUGUGGGCGGUAGACAUCAGACUCCAUACCUCUAGUUUGCCUGAAAAAAAAAAAAAACACUUUAUCCACUGAGCCAACAUCUAUUCUUUAUUUUUUUUUAAUUUUAUUAUGGUGUUAUCUUAGUUUGCUUCUAUUGCUGUGACACACCAUCAUAUCAGAAAGCAACUUGGGGUCAAAAGGGUUUAUUUUCCUUCAAAUACGGUACGUCAUGGAGGGGAGUAAUGGAAGAUCUCAGAGAAGGCACUGAGGCAGAGAUGGUGGAGGAAGGCUGCUCAUUUUAAUCCAGCAACAUGGCUGCUCUGGCAAGGGAUUACAUCCAAAGACCUAGGUCUAUAUGAUCUGGCUAGAAUGUAGACACACCCUUAGCACGCACCUUUAAUCCCAAACAAUGAAAGUAAGGUUAGUCUGUAGACGGAAGCAGCCAUGUUUGACAGUGCUGGCUAAUCAAGGGGCAGAAAAAGUGAUGAAUCAGAGAGUUGACAGGAUGGGACACACCCAACUCUCAUGGGAAGAGAAAGGAACGGGUGGCAAGCAGCAGUUUUACUGGCACAGUUUUACAGAGACAGGCUGCAGAGAGAACAAGCUCGACACAGGUGACGACAGAACGAGCCAGAGAUUUUAUUGAAUCUACAUGUUGAAUACACAUGUACAUAAAAUGUACAUAUUGCCAAGGUUAGCAUGGGGCCAAGCAGAGCAAUUCAUUCAGAAGCUGAAAGCACCAGUUUAAGUCAGUCAGACAGCAGAGGCGCGUGAGCCAAGAGAGCGGAGUCGAACCAGCGCGAGAGAGUUCAGAGUUAGAAAGGGCUCGUUCAUCCAGCGUACGUCUUAGAGGCUCCAACAUGCUAGGUGGAGAUUAGUAGGUAGAUGCUGGAAGCUGGAGCCUUCAGGAUUCUGGUUUGCAGGAGUCUAGAAGUUUCCAGGCCUCGGCCUAGGGAUAGACAGAACAGAAAGAAAUGUUCCGGGCUCAUUCACACAGCAUGACAGCUCUCAUUUCACCUCUUCAUCUGAGGAAAUAAAAGCAGCAUUUACACCUGUUUAGCCUGCUCAGUACCCAGGUUAAAAAACCAACCAAACAAACACCCCCCCCCCCAAAAAAAAAAAACCUGCCCAGGGUGUGACUACCCACAGUGAGCUGAGGCUGCCCACAUGGUUAACUCUGUCGGGGCUGAGGGGCGUAGACCAGAAGUUAAUGCUAGGUGCCCUGUGUUUCCGUUCACCUGAGUUUUUAAAGACAGGGUUUCACAUUGAAUCUUAAGUUCCUCCAUUUGGCAAGACUCUCCUGGGUAACUGGAUGCUGCCUGUCCUUACUUCCAUUAUGCUGGCUUUCUCCUCCUUGAGAAUUGGGGCAGUGAGAGUACUUUAUUGACUGAGCGAUCACCCAGCCCUGUGUGGUCUGUUUCUGAUAGAAAUGUAUUACAAGUCUUCAGUUGCUAUAUGUAGUUGGUUCAUCUCCCGUCUUUACAGUUCUUACAGCUUUUACCUUAUAUUUUUUUUACUGCAUUGUUAAAUACAUACUCUUAUUACUAUGGUUCAUGAAAGAUUGGCCUUUUUACCUACUUUAAUGUCCCAUUCGAUCCUUCAUAACUUUUAUUCGUCUGAGUUUUUCUGCGUCUGAAACUAAUCUACCCAGUCCCACUUUGUUUCAAUUCGCAUAGAAUGUUACAGCUCUCCUCAUUCAUUUACCUUUGAUCUAUAUGUCUCUGGAUGUAAAGCAGAUUUUAUUUUUUGUAGACAACACAUAGCUGAAUUUUGUUACCCUUCUUCCCUGUCUACCUUCAUGUGGCAGUCUCUGCUCCUUUGAAUUGGUGCAGUUAGAUCGUGGAUGUUCAAAACUGAAUCAGUAUCUACCAUAUCUGUUCAUGUUUUCUCUUUUUCUUAAAGACCAUUUAUGCACACUGGCUUCCCUUUCUUUGAUCUCUUAGGACACGAGUUGUCUCCCCGACAUGUCUUGUUGGUUUAUUUUUGCUUGGAAUGCAUUUCCCGAGUUGCCUGUCAGCUCCCAGUGAGAAGGGUUACAUAGUAUCCCCUUCUGCUUCCUUAUUCAUGCCAUUCAAUGUUCAAAAGGCAGCUUUGCUGCGGGACAGCAUUGAUCGAAACCAACUAAGAGUAAACAAGAAAAAUUAAAGAACUAUGGAAUACCCAGAGUGGGCAGCUCACAUGCAGUCCUGAGGGACAGGCAGCAGUGUCACGUGACAUUGGGUCUACAGAGAGUUCAGUUGUCACCAGCUCAGGGCUUGCUCAGUUUUUUAUAAUUCGCCUUCUUCUUUUAUCCUCCUAUGGGUUUAGUUAUAUAUAUCCUAUAAUGCAUAGUUCCUUUUCUUUUUUCCUCUGUUUGGCAGGUCUGUUGUUCCUUCCUUCCUAGUUUUGCUGAUUCAUAGGUACUAUGAGUAUCUUGUGAUAAAAGAAUGUUAUUCUUAUGUCCCUUCUGCCGUUGCUGACACUCACUCGCCAUAGAAACAAGCGUGAAUAAUCUCAUACAGUGCUGCUGUUAUUUUGAACAAGUUAUCGUCUUCUGGGUCUAUUAAGAGUAAGAUAUUUUAAUUUUGUAUCUUACUGUGUCUUCCCUGAUGUUUUUCCUUUACACAAAUUUGAACUUUUGACCUACUUAAUUCUUUAUUUCUCUUUAAAGUAGCCUUUAAAACUUUUCUUUCAAGACACACAAGUAGUGUUAAAUGAUCGAGUCUUUAUAACUGGUCCUUGUACAAUGUAGGUGGUUUGUGGACCUCACUUCCUAUUCACUGUGACUAUUUCAGUACUUUCUCUUCGUGUGCAGUGGUCUCUGAGAAGUGAACUGCAGUUUUAUCCUCAUUAUAAAUAAAACUACUUUGUGUUCACCAUCAACUUUCUGUAAUUUGAACAUACGAUGUAAGAGUACUUUGGUAAGAUUUUGUUAGUGUUAUUUCUGUACAAGGUUUUACUGUGUAGUCCAGAGUUGUGGGAUUAUAGCUUGAUGCUCCCUUGCCCUAAUCGAGAUAAAGGAUUUUCUUCUAGUUUGUGUUUUCUUCUGCUUUUUGUAUUUUUUUUGGUAUUAUUUGUAUUUGUUGAGCUUCUCGGAUUUGUAGUUUAUCAUCUGACAUUAAUUAGGGGAAAUUCUCGGCUUUUCCGUUCAUUUUACUGUUCCAUUAUACAAAGAUUUUAUUCUGAAUUUUCCACACUUCACUGAGAUUUUGUUCUGUGACAUUUUGGUUGGUUUUGGGGGGUAGGGAAGGUAGGGAUUUAUCUUUGUUUUUGGUUUUGGUUUUCUCUUUGUUUGGUCUUGGAAGGUCUGUGUGAUCUACUUAUAUUCAGGGUUCGUGUCCUUGCUGGUGUCUGGUCCACCACUCAGACCAUGAGUGACGUUGGUCUUUCCUCACUAUCUUCCCUAUGUGCUUCCUUUAUGUCCCCUUCCUCCUCACUAACAGCUACACGGCUUAACUCUUGUAGACUGCGUGCUGGUCCACGUCUGAUGCCAUCAUAGGACAUCGGUUGUCUGACCGCUGACAAAGCUUACAUUAGAACUGCUCUCAUUUUGGUCAUGGUGUCUUAAAUGACUGGUUUAACCCUGACACACCUCAUGCUUUUGAGUUUUCAUACUUGCUCUGCCUCUUUGAGACUGUGUUUGGCUUUCAGGCUCUCUUGUGCUUAUUCUUCUUGCUAUGCGAGCAUGCUAUACUGAGUAAAAGGAAUCCCUGGAGACAUCUUAUUAAUGGGAUAUUCCAGGAGCUGGGAAAGGGAGGUGUCUGCAAUUCUCUGAUUGGCUCUUGAUUUUGAAUGAGCCUGUCCUUCCCUGUCCCUCCUCUCUUCCCCACAGCCCUGUGGCUUAGCGCUUUUAUGCCACAGUUCACUGUUCCUCUUUCUUUGCUUCAAAGGCUUCUCUGAAAUUGGCAUCUUCCUUCCUGUGUUCUUGCUGACUCAGGUAGAACCCAGCACGUAGGGCUGAUGUAGAGCCAUUCUGUAGAAAGGCAACGUGAGAACCAACUGCUCUGUCAUAAAUGUGGUUUCCUAGCCUUUUUUUUUUUUUUCUUUUUUUUUUGGAGCUGAGGACCGAACCCAGGGCCUUGUGCUUGCUAGGUAAGCGCUCUACCACUGAGCUAAAUCCCCAACCCCUCCUUGCCUCUUUUGUGUGUUGAGAACAGAAGGGGAUUCUUCCUGCCUGGUUUACUUUGAGAACUUCUUCAGCUUUGAACUGUAGAUUCGUGGAAGUGCGGCGUCCCCUCUUCUCCUCCUUUACUAGACUCGUCCCCUCUUCUCCUCCUUUACUAGACUGUCUGUUAUCUUGGGUUUCAGACUCAUCCACUGUAGUCCUCCAGCCACAUACCAUGACAGUGCCCAUUCCUGUGCUCCAUGGCUUGCCCAGUACCCUGAUUCUCUCUAGUGACUGGUCUGUCCAAGUUGGAAAAGUAGUUUGUCUUGGUGUUGGAGCUCACUUCUCUAGCAGAUCAAACGAUGGUUUGCUGGCUGGUUUUCUUCUUGUUAACAGUGUUAGCUCCCAAAAAGCCUUCUGUCCUGGACCAGAAAUGGUGACUAUAAUAAUCGUUAAUAGGUGGGCGGGUGAGAAAGUAACUUUAAAAAAAAAGGUUUGUUUUUUUUUUUUUUUUUUAAUUCGGAGGGAUGUUUUAAUUUUUUUCUUUUUUUCUUUUAUUGGAUUUUUUAAUUUACAUUUCAAAUGUUAUUCCCUUUCCUGGUUUCCCAGUCAUAAGCUCCCUAUCUCAUCCUACUCCCCUUCUUCUAUAAGGGGUGUUCCCCCUCCCCAACCAGCCCUCUUUCCCCCCCUCCCCCACUGACAUUCCCUAUACUGGGGAUCCAGCCUUGUCAGGACCAAGGGCUUCUCCUUCCAUUGGUGCCCAACAAGGCCAUCCUCUGCUACAUAUGCAGCUGGAGCCAAGGGUCCAUCCAUGUAUAGUCUUUGGAUAGUGGUUUAGUCCCUGGGAGUUCUGGUUGGUUGAUAUUGUUGUUCUUAUGGGGUUGCAAGUCCCUUCAGCUCCUUCAGUCCUUUUUCUAACUCCUCCAAUGGGGACCCCAUUCUCAAUUCAAUAGUUUACUGCUAGCAUUCGCCUCUCAGGAGACAGCUGUGUCAGUCUCCUGUCAGCAUGCACUUCUUAGCUUCAUCAAUAUGAUCUAGUUUUGGUGGCUGUAUAUAUAUGGGCUAUAUACCCAUGUAGGGCAGGCUCUGAAUUCUUUAAGUCUCUGCUUCAAACUUUGUUUCCAUAUCCCCUCCUAUGAAUGUUUUUGUUCCCCCUUUUAAGAAGGACUGGAGCAUCCACACUUUGGUUGAGCUUCAUGUGGUCUGUGGAUCGUAUCUUGGGUAAUUUGAACUUUUGGUCUAAUAUCCACUUAUCAGUGAGUUCAUACCAUGUCUGUAUUUUUGUGAUUGAGUUACCUCACUCAGGAUGAUAUUUUCCAGUUCUAACCAUUUGCCUACGAAUUUCAUAAACUCGUUGUUUUUGAUAGCUGAGUAAUAUUCCAUUGUGUAGAUGUACCACAUUUUCUGUAUCCAUUCCUCUGUUGAAGGGCAUCUAGGUUCUUUCCAACUUCUGGUUAUUAUGAAUAAGGCUGCUAUGAACAUAGUGGAGUAUGUGUCUUUGUUGUAUGUUGGAAUAUCUUUUGAGUAUAUUCCCAGGAAAAGUAUAGCUGGGUUCUCAGAUAGUGCAAUGUCCAAUUUUUGAGGAACCUCCAGACUGAUUUCAAGAGUCAUUGUACCAGUUUGCAGUCCCACCAACAAUGGAGGAGUGUUCCUCUUUCUCCACAUCCUCGCCAGCAUUUGUUGUCACCUGAGUUUUUAAUCUUAGCCAUUCUCACUGGUGUGAGGUGAAAUCUCAGGAUCGUUUUGAUUUGUAGUUCCCUGAUGACUAAGGAUGUUGAACAUUUCUUUAGGUACUUGUUAGUCAUUCGAUAUCCCUCAGCUGAGAAUUCUUUGUUUAGCUCUGUACCCCAUUUUUUAAUAGGUUUGUUUGGCUCUCUAGGGUCAAACUUCUUGAGCUCUUUGUGUGUUUUGGAUAUUAGCCCUCUAUCAGAUGUAGGAUUGGUAAAGAUCUUUUCCCAAUCUGUUGGUUACCAUUUUGUCCUAAUGACAGUGCCCUUUGCCUUACAGAAGCUUUGCAGUUUUAUGAGGUCCCAUUUGUUGAUUCUUGAUCUUUGUGCAUGAGUCAUGUGUUUAAGGCUCUUCCCCAAUUUUUCUUCUAUCAGUUUGAGUAUAUCUAGUUUUAUGUGGAAGUUCUUGAUCCACUUGGACUUAAGCUUUGGCUAUAAGAAUGGGUUGAUCUGCAUUCUUCUACAUGCUGACCUACAGUUGAACCAGCACCAUUUGCUGAAAAUGCUAUCUUUUUUACACUGAAUGGUUUUAGCUCCUUUGUCAAAGAUCAAGUGACCAUAGGUGUGUGGGUUCAUUUCCAGGUCUUCAAUUCUAUUCCACUGAUCUACCUGCCUUUCUCUGUACCAAUACCAUACAGUUUUUAUCACUGUUGCUCUGUAAUACUGCUUGAGAUCAGGGAUGGUGAUUCCCCCAGAAGUUCUUUUAUUGUUGAGGAUAGCUUUCGCUAUUCUGGGUUUUUUGUUAUUCCAAAUGAAUUUGCAAAUUGCUCUUUUUAUCUUUAUGAAGAAUUGAGUUAGAAUUCUGAUGGGGAUUGCAUUGAAUCUGUAGAUUGCUUUUGGCAAAAUGGCCAUUUUUACUGUAUUAAUCCUGCCAAUUCAUGAGCAUGGGGGGGGGGUUUCCAUCUUCUGAGAUCUUCUUCAAUUUCUUUCUUCAGAGACUUGAAGUUCUUGUCAUACAGAUCUUUCACUUGCUUGGUUAGAGUCACACCAAGAUAUUUUAUGUUAUUAGUGACUAUUGUGAAGGGUGUCAUUUCUCUAAUUUCUUUCUCAGGCUGUUUAUCCUUUGAGUAGAAGAAGGCUACUGAUUUGUUUUAGUUAAUUUUAAACCCAGCCCCUUUGCUGAAGUUGUUUAUCAGGCUGAAUAGUUCUCUGGUGGAACUUUUGCAGUCACUUAAGUAUACUAUCUUAUAAUCUGCAAGUAGUGAUAUUUUGACUUCUUCCUUUCCAAUUUGUAUCCCUUUGACCUCCUUUUGUUGUCUGAUUGCUCUGGCUAGACUUUCGAGUACUAUAGUGAAUAAGUAGGGAGAGAGUGGGCAGCCUUCUCUAGUCCUUGAUUUUAGUUGGAUUGCUUCAAGUUUCUCUCCUUUUAGUUUACUGUUGGCUACUGGUUUGCUGUAUAUGGCUUUUACUAUGUUUAGGUAUGGUCCAUGAAUUCCUGUUCUUUCCACGACUUUUAACAUGAAGUGGUGUUGAAUUUUGUCAAAUGCUUUCUCAGCAUCUAAUGAGAUGAUCAUGUUGUUUUUUUCUUUGAGCUGGUUUACAUAGUGGAUUAAGUUGAUGGAUUUCUGUAUAUUGAACCAUUCCUGCAUCCCUAGGUUAAAACCUGCUUGAUCAUGAUGGAUGAUCAUUUUGAUAUGUUUUUGGAUUCGGUUUGUGAGAAUUUUAUUGAGUAUUUUUGUGUUGGUAUUCAUAAGGGAAAUUGGUCUGAAGUUCUCUUUCUUCGUUAGAUCUUAGUGUGGUUUAGGUAUAAGUGUAAUUAUUGCUUCAUGGAAGGAAUUGUGUAGUGCUCCAUCUGUUUCUAUUUUGUGGAAUAGUUUGGACAGUAUUGGUGUGAGGUCUUCUAUGAAGGUCUGAUAGAAUUCUGCCCUAAACUCAUCUGGACCUGGGCUCUUUUUGGUUGGGAGACUUUUAAUAACUGCUUCUAUUUCUUUGGGAGUUAUGUGAUUGUUUAGGUGGCUUAUCUGAUCCUGAUUUAACUUUGGUACCUAGCAUGUGUCUAGAAUAUCGUCCAUUUCAUCCAGAUUUUCAAGUUUUGUUGAAUCUAGGCUUUGGUAGUAGGAUCUAAUGAUUUUUUAAAUUUUCUCAGAUUCUGUAGUUAUGUCUCCCUUUUCAUUUCUGAUUUUAUUAAUUUGGAUACACUCUCUGUGACCUCUGGUUAGUCUGGCUCAGGGUUUAUCUAUCUUGUUGAUUUUCUCAAAGAACCAUCUCCUGGUUUUGUUGAUUCUUCAUAUAGUCCUUUUCGUUUCUACUUGGUUGAUUUCAGCCCUGAGUUUGAUUAUUUUCUGCCAUUUACUCUUCUUGGGUGUAUUUGCUUCUUUUUGUUCUAGAGUUUUUAGGUGUGCUGUCAAGUGGCUAAUGUAUGCUCUCUCCUGUUACUUUUUGGAGUCACUCAGAGUUAGGAGUUUUUGGUCUUAGCAUUGCUUUCAUUGUAUCCCAUAAGUUUGGGUAUUUUGUGUCUUCAUUGUCAUUAAAUUCUAAAAAGCCUUUAAUUCCUUUCUUUAUUUCUUCCUUGACCAGGUUAUCAUUGAGUAGAGCAUUGAUCAACUUCCAUGUAUAUGUGGGCAUUCUUCCCUUAUUGUUCUUAUUGAAGACCAGCCUUAGUCUGAGAGGACGCAUGGGAUUAUUUCUAUCUUCCUCUAUCUGUUGAAGCCGUUUUGUGAAUGAUUAUUUGGUCAAUUUUGGAGCAGGUACCAUGAGGAGCUGAGAAGAAGGUAUAUCCUUUUGUUUUAGGAUGGAAUGUUCUAUAAAUAUCCGUUAAGUCCAUUUGGCUCAUGACUUCUCUUAGUCUGUCGACAUCACUGUUUAAUUUCUGUUUCCAUGGUCUGUCCAUUGAUGAGAGUGGGAUGUUGAAAUCUCCCACUAUUAUUGUGUGAGGUGCAAUGUGUGUUUUGAGCUUUAGUAAGGUUUCUUUUAUGUAUGUAGGUGCCCUUGUAUAUGGAGCAUAGAUAUUUAGGAUUGAGAGUUCACCUUAGUGGAUUUUUCCUUUGAUGAAUAUGAAGUGUCCUUCCUUAUCUUUUUUGAUGACUUUUGGUUGAAAGUUGAUUUUAUUCGAUAUUAGAAUGGCUACUCCAGCUUGUUUCUUCAGACCAUUUGCUUGGAAAGUUGUUUUCUAGACUUUCACUCUGAGGUAGUGUCUGUCUUUGUCUCUGAGGUGUGUUUACUGCAGGCAGCAAAAUGCUGGGUUCUCUUUAUUUAUUCAGUCUGUUAGUCUAUGUCUUUUUAUUGGGGAAUUGAGUUCAUUGUUGUUAAGAGAUAUUAAAAAAUAGUGAUUGUUACUUCCUGUUAUUUUUGUUGUUAGAUGUGGACUCAUGGUUGUUUGUCUCUCUUCUUUUCUUUUUCCUUGCAAGGAGAUUUCUUUCUUGCUUUUUCUAAGGUGUAGCUUCCCUCCUUUUUUCCCCAUCUAUUAUCCUUUGUAGUGCUGGAUUUGUAGAAAGAUAUUGUCUUGAUUUGGUUUUGUCAUAGAAUAUCUUGGUUUCUCCAUCUAUGUUAAUUGAGAGUUUUGCAGGAUACAGUAACCUGGGCUGCCAUUUGUGUCCUCUUAGGGUCUGUAUGACAUCUGCCCAGGAUCUUCUGGCUUCAUAGUCUCUGGUGAAAAUUCUGCCAUAAUUCUGAUAGUUCUGCCUUUAUAUGUUUCUUGACCUUUUUUUCCUUACUGCUUUUAAUAUUCUUUGUUUUUUUGUGCAUUUGGUACUUUAACUAUUGUGUAAUGGGAGGAGUUUCUCUUUUGGUCCAAUCUAUUUGGAGUUCUGUUGGCUUCUUGUAUGUUUAUAGGCAUCUCUUUCUUUAUUUUAGGGAAGUUUUUUGUCUUUCUAUGAUUUCGUUGAAGGUAUUUACUGGCCCUUUAAGUUGGGAAUCUUCACUCUCUUUUAUACCUAUUAUCCUUAGGUUUGAUCUUCUCACUGGGUCCUGGACUUCAUGGAUGUUUUGGGCUAGGAGCUUUUUGAGUUUUACAUUAUUUUGAUGGUUGUGUUGAUGUCUUCUAUGGUAUCUUCUGCCCCUGAGAUUCUCUCUUCUAGUUCUUGUAUUCUGUUGGUGAUGCUUCAUCUAUGACCCCUGAUCUCUUUCCUAGGUUUUCUGUCUCCAGAGUUGUCUCCCUUUGUGCUUUCCUUAUUGUUUCUAUUAACAAUAUUAAGUCCUGGAUGGUUUUGUUCAAUUCUUUCACCUGUUUGGUUGUGUUUUCCUGUAAUUCUUUAAGGGAUUUUUUGUGUCUCCUCUUUAAGGGCUUCUACUUGUUUACCUGUGUUGUCUUAUAUUUCUUUAAGGGAGUUAUUUAUGUCCUUCUUAACGUCAUCAUCAUUAUCAUGAGAUGUGAUUUUUAAAUCUAUAUCUUUCUUUUCUGGUGUGUUUGGAUAUUCAGUAUUUGCUUUGGUGGGAGAACUGGGCUCUGAUGAUGCCAAGUAAUCUUGGUUUCUGUUGCUUAGGUUCCUGCAAUUGCUUCUCGUCAUCAAUUUGUCUCUGGUGUUAACUUGUUUUGCUGUGUCUGACAGUGACUCCACCCUCCUGUAGGCCUGUGUGUCAGGACUCCUGUUGACCUGGUUUCUUUCAGCCGGAGCUGGGAACAGAGAGGUGCUCUUGGGUUUGUGUUACUUUGUGCAGGAGAGUUGGUCUUAACUCUGAUCUCAGGUGUGCAGUCACUCCUGGAGACUAGCUUUCUGCUCUAGGCACAGGCAGAAACCGAAGGGUCCUGCCCCUCAAUGCUCCUAGGGUCCCUGUCCCCAGAAGGCACAGAGGCACUACUAGGUGGGUUCUUCUUGGGUCAGGAAUGUGGGCAGAAGUAGUUGUCUCCUCUGAGCUCUCAGGAUUGUCUGCACUUCUGAUAAUCUAGCUCUCUUCUCCAUAGGAUUUGAGUUCAGGGAGCUGUAGGACCAGUUCAGUUCAGUUCCGAGCACAGGCAGAAACCAGCAGGUUCCUGCUGCUGACUGCUUUUAUAUUCCUGUAUCCAGAGGCCACUAGGCAGGUUCCUCUUUGGCCAGGAAUGUAGGCAGAAGGGGUGGUCUCCUGAGCUAUCAGGAUUUCAAAAAAGUGGUUUUUAAACUGACACUUGCCAAGUAAAGGAAAAGUAUAAAGUAUAGGUUAAGACUGCAGGGCUGGAGAGAUGGCUCAGCCAUUAAAGGCUAGGCUCACAACCAAAAUAUAAGACUGCAAAAGUAUAAAUUGUUACUUGGCAGAGACUUUCCCUUGGACAUUUUUUGUAUAGAAAAUGAAAUGAGGCAUGCACUGUUUUUUGGUAAAGAGUCCUUACACCACUGCCUUCAUUCCUUUUCAUUUUGCUUUGUUGACACAGAGUUUCUCUGUGUAACAGCCCUGGCUGUCCAGGAACUCACAGAGACCUGCCUGCCUCCGCUCCCUCCUGAGCGCUGGGACUAAAGGCACGCACCACCAUGCCCUGUUUCUCACACCAUUGUUGGGAGCAUAUUUCUUCUAGAUAAUGAGAAGUCACACAGGAGUAGCAAAUAACUACAGGUCUUGAAGUGGUAACUAUGGAGACAUUGUUGAGGGAAUUCAUAGUAGUUGGAAGAUAAUAUUUAGAAAUCGAUGUCUCCUACAAACCAUUUAAGGACAGUGUUAUAUGUUAAAAUCAUUUACAGAGAGGGAACAACACUUGAGAUCCUGAUUCCCCAAGUGUGGCAAGGAGCAUAACUUCUGCAGGUUUCUUUGUUUUUGUUGUUGUUGUUGCUGUUAUUUUUGUUAAUCCCGUGGCUGCUUUUGAUUCAGAAUCAGAAUAGAGAAAUCCUGGAUUAAGUGCCUGGCCAUAUGGACAGCAGUAGUUGGAGUGAGCAGAUGGCAGAUAAGAGCCAUAUUCAUUGCUGUCUGCUCGGAGAGGGUGUCAUUCGAAAGCACUCACACCGAGUGCAAUGCGUGAGGAGACACUGUGCUGGGGUGCUGCUGUCUGCAGAGCACCCCUGCUGGCAGAGACGGGCAUUCUGACUUUGAGCUGUGCCUUUUCCUCUUCCUGGAGUUUAUCUGUAGACAUGAAGCCAGCGGUAGGUAGAAAAGGAUCUCACAUCUUAAUAAUGCGGUUGAAAAGCAUAGCCCUAAAUCUGCAGGUCAUCAUGGUCAUCCGAAUGCCAGUGUCCUUUCACAAGUGACAAGACUCCAGCAUCGAUACGCUGUUGGCUUCACAGAUCAGUCUGCAUCCCCAUCUGUGUUGUCAAAUGUCCUGUGUCCCGCACCCUAAACUUCUGCUUAAAGAAAUGUCAGCCUUAUUGUUUAAAUAUUCUGUCUGUCUGUCUGUCUGUCUGUCUGUCUGUCUGUCUGUCUGUCUGUGUAUCCAUCCAUCCAGAGACUUACUAUGUAGCACUUGCUGGCCUGGUAUUUACUGUACAGACUAGGCUGGCCUCACACUGAGAGCAGCUGUCCUCUUAGCCUAACAAUGUGCUGCUAGCAUUGUUCAGUUCUUCACCACAGCUGCCUUGAGACGUCACAUUUUAACAGAUUUUAUUAUCUUUAGUAAAAAGAAAUGUGUGACAUAAUGUCCUUUUUACAUGUUAAUUUUCUUUUUAUCCUUCACAGCAAUAUGGAAUUGCACUUAAAACAACAGCAAAGCUCUUUAUGCUUCUUUAUGUUUACACAAAGUAAAAAUGAGAAUACCAGACCUACCCUAAAGUUCACCCUCUUCACAGAGGCUUCAAUCACACUGUGAAGACCACACCUAAAGGAACUUUGGUGUAGCUAUUGGAAAAGUAGUCCCAUGUAUCAUCUGUAAGAUUUCUGCCAUUAAAACUAGCUCUCACCGACACUGGCCCAGUCCUAAGGCAGCAGAGCCGCAGCACCAGAAGAGCUUCCAGAACAAGGAGUCUGUGCUCCAAAAGUGAGGGCAACAUGGCCAAUCACAGUUGCAUAACCACCAUAAGUGCAGUACCAUGGGCAAGUACACUUGUACUCACUGGUAGGUGUUGAGACAGAGCUAUAAUGUAGCUUGCCCUGAGCUUACUGAAUAGCUUGCCUGACACUGAGCGCCUGGUCCUCCUGCCUCAGCCCCUCAAGGCUAGAAUUAUAGACAUGAUCCAUCUUACUGGGAUGUAUGUUUCUUACAAAUAAAAAUCAUGUGGUGCAGAUGUAGCACAUGUGCAGCUCAGUCUUCACGUGGGUCCCGAACAACUUGAGCUGUCCCAACUGCUGUUGCCUGUACGUGGGAUAUGUUCUUCCAGAUGGGCUGCCUUGUCUGACGUCAGUGGGAAAGGAAGUGCCUAGUCCCACCAAGACUUGAAGUGUCAGGGUUGGGGUGAUAUUCAGGGGGUCUCCACCUGCUCAGAGGAGAAGGGGAGGAGGUUGGGGAAGGACUGGGGGAGGGGUGGUUGGGAGGGGGACAGUGAGCAGAAUGUAAAGUGAAUAAGUAAAAAUCAAACAAACAAACAUGUGAUGGUAUUUAGCUGUACUAUGAUGGCAGGAGGCAGCAAAUUGCCCUUAAAAAUCCUUCCUUGCUUUGGAAACAAUAUCUGCUCAAAAACUACUUUUAGGGAAUAUUAUGUGACAAAAUAUAGAAUGCAGAGGAUUUUGUUGGGGUAGGUAAGAACUUGUAAAAGAUAUAAUCAUUGUUAUAUUCAUUUUCAAGCUUUGUCAGGUGAGCAUUUGCUUUUUCAGAAAUGCGGAGGAUGUGAGAGCCAUGGAGAUUUUGCUCUGAUUCAUGUGCACUCUGACCUUCUGGUCUAAUGUUCAACACUGAUUUUCACUGUGGUAGAGGUCAGAAUAAUACCAUUCCCUCUCCUUUUUCUUAACCACCAGUCAUUGAUGAACAAGUGCUCAGAGAAGUUAUGAUCUUUAAGUCAUUAAUAACUUACUACUUGCAUACCAGUCUUGUUCUUAAAGCAUUCUGUCUGAAACAUUGUUUACUAGUAACAGGUCAGGCAUUUUCUAACUCACAGAGGUCUGUCACAUGGAAAACCUGCCCAAGAGCUGUGUGUGUGUGUGUGUGUGUGUGUGUGUGUGUGUGUGUGUGUGUGUGUGUGUGCGCGCGCGCGCGCGUGUGCACGCGUGGCUGUCUGUCUUGCCUGUUCUUUACCACUGUUGAUUCCAUCUUGCUAAUAGUACAGUCUAAAUUCUAGAAACUAGAAUAAGCUGCAAAAGCAGCCCAACAAAUAGUUGGAAGGUGUGAUAGCUUUAUUUAUAAGCUUGACACAAUUUAAAAUGGUCUGAAAAGGGCUUGUGUAGUUCAGCUUAUGGGGAAUAUCUUGGUUAUGUUAACUGAUAUGAAAGGACCUGCCUCCUGUUGGUGGCACCAUUCCCUGGGCAGGACAUCCUAGAUUACACAAGAGUGGGGGAAGCAGCCUGAGGGCUAGCAUGUAUGUACUCAUUCACACUGUUCCUACUGUGAAUACCCUGUGACCAGCUGCUUCACGUUCCUGCUGCCUUGACUUUACAACAGUGAUGGACUAGAACUUGAAAAUGUGAGCCAAAUCCUUCCCCCCGUAAGUCGUUUGUCAGGCUAUUUUAUCACAGUGACAGGAAAGGAAACUAACAAAGAACGUAAACUGAAUGGGCUAGAACUGUUGAUUCAUGAAAAUUUAAUAGCUGCAUUACACCUUAGCCCAGUCUCAUCAUAAAGGCAAUAGUAGACUAUCUUUAUACUAGUUUAUACCUUCUAUGUAAGAAGUAACAUUGGACCAACAAUGAUAUGUCUAGAUGUAAACAUGCUUCUCAUUUUGAAAAAGCUCAUUUGGUCACAUAUUUAUUGAGUAUCUACUGUGUCCAUGUUCUUUUUCAGCUCUGGGAAUACAGAAAGGACCUUGUUGUGGCCUACUGGCUCCCUAGGCCAGAAUGGCUUCAAACAGAAGUUACAGAUAGUUUUUGUGCUGCAUUAUUUUAUGGCGCUUGACAGAGCUGAAGUCAUUUGAGAGAGGGAAAACACCUCUGUAAGAUCUAGUCCAGCCUCUAAGGCAUGUUCUCGAUUAGUGAUUUAUGAGGGAAGACCCAGCUCAUUGCAGAUGGGGCCAUCCCUGGCCUGGUGGUCCUGGGUUCUAGAGGAAAGCAGGCUGAGCAAGCCAAGAGGAGCCAGUGUGCAGCACUCCCACAUGCUUUGCCCCAGGUUCCUGCCCUGUUUGAGUUCCUGUCCUGACUUCCUGGUAAUGAACAUUGAUGUAGAAGUCUAAGCCAAACCCUUCCUUCCCAACUUGCAUUUUGGUUAUGGUGUUUCAUCAGAACAAUAGAAACUUUAUGACAGUCCCAAGAGAAGGAAAUGAGGAAGUACCUAGGAUACCAGGAUUCAGUGUUGCUAUAGAAUCAGUAAGAAGGAGCAGAAGAGCAGUGCAGGCCCAGGUGGAGUUGGAGGCUAUAGUCGUGAAUGAGUGGGAUUUGCUCUUCUCAAGCAGUAUUAUUCACUUAACUCUCUUUGGCAGUGUCUGUGGACCUAAUUGCUGUAUUGUCUUUAUGCUUCUAUUGCUGUACCUUAAGACCUCUGAGGAUGAAGACUGUAAUUUGCCUGUUGAAGUUCUCAAAUAGGAAACAUUGAAUGGGUUAAGGAGUAUUGUUCUGUGGGUUGCCACAUGUUUAUUCCCUAAAUACAGUGCUAUAGUAUAGGAAAAUACAGAGACAAAUGUUUGUUCUUUACCUCAGUUAACCUUUUAUCAUUUAAUUUGCCCAUAACCUCAGAGUUGGAAAUGGGGUGGGAGAGCUAGAAUUGGGAAGAAACCGGGUUAUUUGUGGAUAAGGAAGAGAGUCGCAUGAGUUGUUUGUUGUUCUUGGUGUGCAUGCCAUGUGCAUGGGAGGCUCCUGUGGGUAUAGGGAAAGGCACGAGUUCAGCUUUGCUGGUAGAGGAGCCAGGGGCUGACUGUCGGGUAUAAUGAGGCAAACCAGGGUACUGCAUCCGGUCCUGUCUUGCAGCCAUUUGGCCUCUGAGAACAGGCUUAAGAGAAACUAAAUCAGAAGAUACAUUCAUUCCUAAAGAUGUUGAGUGGUGUGGGUGGGCUCUGAUGGACCGUGUGCAUUUGGCUGCCCGCGGCCUGGCCUUCUCAGAUGAAGCCAUGCCAUCCUGGUCACCUUGCUGCCUUCAUGAGCUUUCCCUUCAUCUUGGUUUAUCACUCCCAUUAGGACCUACACACUUCCUGCAUUGCUAGAGGCUUUGCUGCUGCUUCUCUCCUUCCUGUGCAGCCAUGCCGUGGGUCUUGACUCUUGUCAGUGUCAGUAGCUACAGUGCAGUUCGCUGUGGUUUUGCUCUAUCCAGAGUGUAUGGCUCCCUUGUGCGUAGACCCCGGUAUUCCCAAACGAGAGCACUCACCACCACUCUUCUUGCAGAGACUCCAGGUUUCUAACUCCAGUCACACAUAUGGUUCUGCUAUACACUCCCCUUCAAUUGUAAAAGUUGAGAAGGAGCAAACUGUAUGUAUUGUGGCUUGUUUUUCUACAAUGGAUAUCUUGGGGGACAGAUUUUCCUGAACACAGGACCUUCGAGCCAUACAUCUUUAAAAUUAGAAACCACAAAUUCAAUAUCUUUUCUUCAACUCUCUUCAAAAUUGAGUUCUGUCAUUUAUACUUAAAAUAAUUUUAAGGUGUGUGCGUGUGCGCGUGUGUGUGUGCACGCGUCUAUGCGUGUGCAUGUGUGUGUGCGCGUGCAUGUGUGUAUGUAUGUGCGUGUCUGUGUGUGUAUGUAUGUGCGUGUCUGUGUGUGUGCAUGUGUGUGUGUCUGUGCACGUGCAUGUGUGUGUGCAUGUGUGUGUAUGUAUGUGCAUGUCUGUGUGUGUGUGCAUGUGUGUGUGUGUCUGUGCACGUGCAUGUGUGUGUAUGUAUGUGCAUGUCUGUGUGUGUGUGCAUGUGUGUGUGUGUCUGUGCACGUGCAUGUGUGUGUAGCCAUAAAGACCUGAAAAGAGCACUGGGUCCUCUCAAGCAGAAGUUGUGGACUGUUAUGAGCCACAUACCUGAUCGGGGCACUGGGGAGUGAGCUUGGGUCCCGUUCUGGAGCAGCUGUUGCUCUUUAUCACUAAACUACAUCUCCAGCCUUGGUGCUAAGUAUGUUUUUGUUGUUUUCUUUUGUUUUUUAAAUGUAUAAUUGUAGUAUAAUUUAAUUUUCCCCUUGCUUCCCUCCAAACACUUCUAUAUACCCCUCCCUGCUUUUCUUGAAACUCAAGACUGUUUUCAUCAACACACACACACACACACACACACACACACACACACACACACACUCCUAAAAAUAGCCUGUUCAGUCUGUAUAAUGUUAGUUGUAUGUGUGUUGUCAGGACUGAGCAUUUGGCACUAGACACCCAGUUCUGUGCGUUUCCCUGGGGGAAGACCAUCUCUCAUGUCUCUGGCCUCCUUCAGUUGGAGAGGGUCAAAGGCUUGAGGGCUUCUCUUCAUCCAGUCUGGCAUCUUCCCUGUGUCACUCUUGUUCAGAUCAUGUGACUCUAUUGGGGAGAGUCCAUGGGUAUAGCCCCUGAUAUCACUAGGAGACACUCUCAGAGCAAACUCCCAUCCUUUGUCCCUUACAGUCCCUCUUCUGAGCCUUAGGUGCAGCUGGUCUCCACCUGCUGGGAAGAGUUUCCUGGAUGGUGGUGAGGACCACAUUUAUCUGUAGGUGUAAGGACACAGUUGUAUAGAGCGUGGUUAAGCAUUCUGCUGGGUUUGGAAAGAAAUGGUUGUAGAUGUCCCUGCACUCAUCAUGACUUCUCUGCUGCAGAGUAGUUAGCUAGCUUUCCAGUGUGCUUUUAAAAUUGUCACAGUGCAUUUCUGUAUGAAGAAUAUGUAAAGGUAGUGGCUUUUAUUUUUUAUUUUUUUAAUAGUGCAAAAAUGUGUAUUUAGAAUUAGCCAUCUGGACUCAGUUUGGAAGAUCCCAGUUUUGUUGGUAACAUCUAGAGCAUCAUAAUCCGGAGCCAAUUGAACAAGGUAUUGAUUUUGUUACAGUUCUUUUUAGAGCCUGUUUGAUCUGGUGCUUGCUGGCAUUGACACCCACAGCGAAUACAAAUGAACUACUGCCUCUGUCUUCAUCAUGGCUGACUCAUGAUCAGAUGGAUUUGAUUGCCGAGGGUGGAGUGGUCAAGCUUGUUUCUCCUGGUGUGCUCUGGUGAGGCUAUUUGGGCUGCAGGGUUCAGGGCUGUGGGUUCUCGGGCUGACGGAAGGUAGGGGACAUGUGGACCUUCUUUAUGUUGUGGCUGUGGACACCUUUCAGCACUGUUUCUGUCUUUGGAAGCUUCCAGUAUGUAGCCUCUGAAGUGCUAGGAUUAUGGGCCACUGUUCUUCAACUGUUGCUUUUGUGCUUGUUUGCUGAUCAUUAGAUAGAUAGAUAGAUAGAUAGAUAGAUAGAUAGAUAGAUAGAUAGAUAGUGAGUCUGUUUUGCAGUCUUAAUAGUGUUCAUUUGUGAUUGUACAAUUGAGCAGUGGUUUGGACCAAAAAGGGCUGAGAAUGCCCCUCCUCACUUGACAUGGAUAUGUUAUAUAGUCUUUACUCAUUGAUCUUAUCUAUUUUUUGUACAUUUUUUAAAUGACAAAAACAUUUUGAGUUCUUCUAGCUUCUUGAGAUUCACAUAAUUAUCAUCUUUAGUUAGCCUACCAUGUUAGAGCACACUGAGGCUUCUUAUAUCUAACCUUAACUUAGACAGAAGAAGUGUUGGAUUUAGGAUACUGCAUGGGUAUAGACAGAAGAACAGUCACAGGGUUGGCAUAGACACACACACACAGAGAGAGAGAGAGAGAGAGAGAGAGAGAGAGAGAGAGAAACAUUCUCUCUCGGUCACAUACACAAACACAUGUACAUGCACACACUCACACAUAGUGUGGGGAGGGAGAGAGAGUGGGGAAGGAAGUGGAGAACAGACUGACUGAAACAGAAUAGAGCAGCCAGGCAAACACACACACACACACUAGCAAAGUGAUGUCCCUUGGUGGUCACUAGGUGUCAGCGUUCCCUCAGCUCCCUUCCCUGCUACUCUCUCCAACCUUAGAUACUUUUCAAAUCUAAAGUUAUAUGUGAUUACAUGAUCAAGAUCCCGGAAGUUGUAUGCCUUGCUUACUUCCCAUGAUCUUCACUUUCAUAUGUGUUUAUAUGUGUUUACUCUAUUUAUGGCUUAAUAGUAUUCCAUUCUGUGUAUGCAUUUUCUAUUUCUUGAUUAUUUCAGUAGUGCUACAGCAGACACAGGAGUGGAGGUGUUUCUUUGAUACUUCUCUCUCUCACACAUGCACAUGCACCCCCCUCACAUAUACACCACACUCACGUGUGCGCAUACAGAGAGAGAGAGAGAGAGAGAGAGAGAGAGAGAGAGAGAGAGCUCACACAGCCUACACCCACCUAGUAGUAGGAUUACUAGAUCAAGUGGCAGUUCUAUUUUUAAGCUUUGAAGGAGCCUCCAUGCUUUUUCUCUAAUGAUCGUCAGUUAUAAGGGUUUUCUUUUCUCCACACCCUGACCAGUGUUGGUUCCCUCAUCAACACAGUGGUUUCAGAAGUGCCACUCUUACAUCCAGGCACCUGUAGGCCUCUGUAAAGUAUCCUGGCCAAGUGUCCACCUUGUUAACUGACUGCACUGUGAAGACUAGACGUCUGCACAUUCCAGUUUUAUUUUUGAUUAUUUGUUUAUCCUGGGUCCCUGGACUUUACAUAGGAAUUUUAGGAUUAGAUUAUCGGUUUAUUUUUGCCAACAGUUGAAAUUCUGUAGAAAUGGUGUGCCCUCUGUUUAGAAUGAUUCAUCUGUUCCAUGAAUAUGAGAUGUCUCCAUUUAUUUAGGUUUUCUUUCUGCAAGACUCUAUAGACUUCCGUAUAUAAGACUUGCUUUUGUUUGGGCAGUUUAUUUGUACUCAUUUUAUCCCUUGUGUUAACAUAAAAAGAAUACUGGGCAGAGAACUUGGGGCCUUGUGUGUGCUAGUGACCAGCUCUGCUAAUGCGCUGUGCUCCAGUCCCUGUGAUUAUUUUAACAGGACUCUUAGAUUGUUUGUUGCAAGUAUUGAGAAGGAUACUUUUUUAUGUAUUGUGUGUUGUGUGUAUAAAUAGUUGUACCUGUGUGGCAGUGUGUUGUGUGUAUAAAUAGUUGUACCUGUGUGACAGUGUGUUGUGUGUAUAAAUAGUUGUACCUGUGUGGCAGUGUGUUGUGUAUAUAAGUGGUUGUACCUGUGUGACAGUGUGUUGUGUGUAUAAAUAGUUGUCUCUGUGUGACAGUGUGUUGUGUGUAUAAAUAGUUGUCUCUGUGUGAUAGAGUGUUGUGUGUAUAAGUGGUUGUACCUGUGUGACAGUGUGUUGUGUAUAUAAAUUGUUGUACCUGUGUGACAGUGUUUUGUGUAUAUAAAGAGUUGUGCCUGUGUGAUAGUGUGUUGUGUGUAUAAAUAGUUGUACCUGUGUGACAGUGUGUUGUGUGUAUAAAUAGUUGUACCUGUGUGACAGUGUGUUGUGUGUAUAAAUAGUUGUACCUGUGUGACAGUGUUUUCUGUAUAUAAAGAGUUGUGCCUGUGUGAUAGUGUGUUCUGUGUAUAAAUAGUUGUACCUGUGUGACAGUGUGUUGUGUGUAUAAAUAGUUGUACCUGUGUGACAGUGUGUUGUGUGUAUAAAUAGUUGACCUGUGUGACAGUGUGUUGUGUGUAUAAAUAGUUGUACCUGUGUGACAGAAUGUUGUGUAUAUAAAGAGUUGUACCUGUGUGAGUGUGUUGUGUGUAUAAAUAGCUGUAUCUGUGUGACAGUACAGUCCUACCUUGCUUGUUUACUUGUUUUAGAAAUGCUAUUUUGGUGAAUGGUUAACAAUUUUUAACAUAUAUAAUAUAUCAUCCUUGAAUAGGGAUAAUUUUCAUUCUAUUCUACUUAUAUAUUUUACAUUUAUUGUUACUACUACUACUUCUAUGAUUACUACUACUACUAGUAGUAGUAGUAGCCCCUUUCCCCUGGUUAGAACAUUCUAGACCACACUGAAGUAACAUGGACAUCCUACUUACUGAUGCUCUUGGUAAGGUGUAGAGUCCUUUACUAUUGCAUAUAAUGCUCUUUGAGAUUUUCAUGAUGCCCUGUCAUGAUGAUGGUUCCCUCUACUGCCACUGUGGAGUGACUGGCCAUGAAAGCACAGUGGCUUCUCUCACCCUUCCUAUGCCUGUUGAACUGAUCAUGUGGCUUCUUUCUUUUAAUACACGGAGGCAGUGAAUUCAUUAGACAGAUCCUUUCUUUCUCCCUAAUCUCUGUGCUGAAGGUUGACCCCAGAGCCCCUGGCGUACUAUAUUCAGAUGUGCACUUGGCACACAGGACAGGUCCACAGUGCUGGUCCCGUCCUUCUGUUUAGUUUAGCCAGUCCUGCUCUUCUUACAUAUUUCUAGAAGAAAGUAUUUUCUCAUCACUUUAGAUGUUUGUGAAGAAUUUAUCUCAAAAUUAUUAUAGAAUUAUGGUAUAGAAUUCCAGGUUCCUGUUUAAGGUCCUGUGCCACAUUACUUCUUUAGUAAACUAAUAUUUAAUGUAACCCAUGAGCUAACGUUAAAAGAAUCUAGGAUUUUAUCCUUUCAAUCGGCAUAUUCUUUUCUACAUUCUAUGACGAGAUUACUACUUAGAAAAGGUCCUUGUAGCUCCAAGUUUUCUAGUUCAAGGUUAGUUGGCCUUGUUUUGGGGGCUUCUGUGAAGACACUGGGCUGCAGCUGUAGAGGGUGGGUAGCUAAGCCACAUUCUUACCUGAUGAACCAGGAAGAAGAGGAUAACAGGCCCGAAUCCCACAGCCUACAUUACGAAGUCCAUUAGUGACCCCGACCUUACCCUGGGCUCACCACUCCGUCAUCUUUACACUUCCCAGGAGCACUUCGACAUGGGUCUAAGCUUUAGGACCACCUAAUAGGUCUAUUAUAUUUACUUGCUGCUAAAAGUUACACGUGACCCCGCCAUAUUGAUUUAGACCAUUCUGGAGUUAUCAAAUAUCCAUAGAUUAAAUAUAGACUAUAUGCUUCUUCUAUGUUUAUUCUUCAAUUGUAAGAUGACUUAACAAUGAAGUAGGAAUCGAGAUUUAUGAGUGCAAAUUACCCGUAGUAAUAUACUCUCUAGUGUAACAAAGCUUGACGGUUUAACCUAUAAGCUCUGAGAUUAAAUGUCUUAAGUCAAGUCUCAGCUUCUUUGCCAACUUGCUGUGAGUCUGGGAAAGUUAUUUAAACUCAUACUUGAAUAUUCUUGAUUUGUGAAAAUGGUUGACCUCAGGUACUGUUGUUUGCAUGUAGGAAUGUUCCCCGUAUCACAGUUGGGAGGAUGAGGGACCUAGUUAUCUCUAAAUUCCUCUUUUGUCCCUCCCUUUCUACUCUCUCCACCCCUUCACCUCCCAGUCACAGUAACAAUGAAAGUCAUUUAGGAGGUGAACUUCAGGCUAAGUUUGAAAUAGAUAUGUAGUACAAUAAGUAAAAUGCUUUACUAGUUAUGAGUUUUGUGGUGUGUGCGUGUGUGCGUGCGUGUGUGUGCGUGUGUGUGUGUGUGUGUCUAUUAUGUGGAUAUGUGCAUGCUGAGUGUGUAUCAUUAAACAAUGUCGAUGUUGGCUGUUUUUCCCCACCACUCUCCACUUUCUUUAUUAAGUAAGGCAGGAGCUUUGGAAGAACCUAGAGCUCCCUGAUUGAGUUAGCCUAGCUAGCUACUUCAUCCCAGCGACCCUGUCUGUGUAUUCUGAGUGUCAGGAUUACAGCACACAAAUCUCUAGCUUUUGCAUGGGCUUUGAGAGCCAAACUCUGGUCUUCGUGUUUAUUCUGUGAGUGUUUUAUCCUAGAUCCAUCCCCCCAGCCUUCCUGAUAUUCUGUUCUGCUCAUCAGUCCUUAUAACCUUCUGUGUUAGGGACGUGGAUCAGCAGUAGAUAGAGUGACCUUUGUGCCAUGUAUAUGGUCCUAUAUUCCAUACUCAACAAUAGCAAAAAGUUAAGCUCUUACUAGCUCCAAGUUUCGUUUCUGUAUAUCCAUCUCAUAUACCACUUCCUUUUAUUCCUCAUUAAAUCCUACUUUCACUAUAUUUUCUAUGUUUAAUUCUUUACUUCCCCCCCAUUGUGUAACCGAGGAUCUUUGAAAGACUCAAUUGCGUGUUUCAGCUUUGCUCUCUGCCCUCCUAUGAAUGUGUCUGUAUAAUGAACUUAUUAUUCUAGCCAGCGCUUAUAAAGACACACAAUCAGUUAUCUGGUUUACAGCCGUAAGCCUAGCUUGGGCAGGUUUGGAGCUGUUCCAACUUGUUCCUCAGCUAUAGAGUCCUUUAUUACUGCUGUUCCUCCUGCCCACAUGAUCCUGGUCCGUCUCCUCUCAUGCAGCCUCCUCUACUCUGUCUCCUUCUUCCUCCUCUUCCUCUUCCUCCUCUACCUACAAUCCCCUAACUUGGUCCUCAAGUCCCACCUUUCUCCCUCUAUUGCCCAAUCACAGGUUCUAUUUUUUUGUUGACCAGUUAAAUUGGGGAGAAGGUUCAUAUACUAUCACUUGGUAUCAAGGUCAUCCACAUCUAGAGAACCAGUAUAAAUACUAAAGCAUGGGGCUGGAGAGAUGGCUCAGCGGUUAAGAGCACUGACUGCUCUUCCAGAGGUCCUUAGUUCAAAUCCCAGCAACCACAUGGUGGCUCACAACCAUCUGUAAUGAGAUCUGAUGCCCUCUUCUGGUGUGUCUGACAGCUACAGCGUACUGAUAUUAAAUAAAUAAAUAAAUCUUUAAAAAGGGUUGGGGAUUUAGCUCAGUGGUAGAGCGCUUGCCUAGCAACCACAAGGCCCUGGGUUCGGUCCCCAGCUCCGGAAAAAAAAAAGAACAAAACAAACAAACAAAAAAACAAAACAAAACUAAAGCAUUACAAUACAAACAGCAUCAGACCAACCCACCACAUUUCCCCCUUUUUGUCUAAAUAAAAAGGCUCUUAUAAUAAUAAAGAACAUACAAUAGGAACCAUUGUGCAACAAAUAUAAAAACUCUUAGGUAAGAGUUACAUUUGUAAUGUCUAGUCAUUUUAUGUUUGACACCUUAGAUAAAGUAUUCUAUCAUCUAUCCUAUCUUGGUGAGUUUAGAGUUCUGUACAAAUCAAUUUGUAUCUUAGCUUGUGUUACCAUCCUAAAAAAUAUCUUCUUAGACCAAGAACAUCUUCUUAAAUCCUAAACAACUUAAGCUCAUAGUAAGACUAUAACUAUCUAGUCUUCAAUCCAUUACAGACCUUAAGGGAAUAAAUAUUACCUGAGUAUGCAGGAAGUGCAGGGAUGCAGCUUCAAAAAAUUAUAGAAAUGAGAGAGACAGCUGACAGCCUGGACAGUGCCAAUAUUCUCUACAACACUGGAGCAUCAUCGUCAGCCUUCUGGCCCGGGAUAUCAGACAGGCCACUCUCGAAGCAAGAGUCAUGAAGGACUUGCUUAUCCUGUCUUGGCAGAGCUUGGCAGUUGACUUCCCUGGUUUUGUUUGUCCUUUCUGGACAGCAUUCUAUCUGCAAAUAAAGUUAGGGUGUUUUCUUUGCCUGCUUGCCACAAGUGAAGCCAUCUCCAAGUGGAGGUUCUUUAAUGCCCAUCAUCUUCUUCCAAGUUGAAUCCUGUGUUGCCAGGAGCUGACAUGUUUCAGUGUCAAAAAGCCUUAAAUUAAAUAAAACAUUUUUUAAAUGCCAAUUGAUUCUGUGAGUCUCUGAGGUUUUUGAAGACAUCUGUCUAUUCAUAGCAUAUCUGAAUUAGCUAACAUUGCCUGUCUUCAGUUACACAUUGUAUGUUCAACCCAGAAUGCAUAUUUCUCUGAUGAUCUAGACUAGUGUCUGACAUGAUCACAAGUUUGACUAUUGACUUGUAUUUCUUAAUCAUAUACAAUAGUUUGUAAUAGCAGCCAUUAAAAGGAGUGGAACUUUACAUUGUAUCUUUAAGGAUUAUAUAGGAACAAUACCUCAUAUAAGAAUUUAAAAGAUAUGUAUAUUAUGGUGCCAAAAAUAAUCUUAAAUUUGUAUUGAUAUCUAAUAAUCUAAACCAAUGUAACCUUUAAAUUUAUAUCAGUAUACAACAUUCUGUACCGAUAUAACAAAAUAUAGCCCCAUUUUUUUUUUAUCAAAAUACAAAAGUCUAUACCAAUGUAAGAUUAUGGCUAUAAAAUAGUUUUUGGUUUAAGAAUAGAAUCAGUAAUAUCCCUCUUUUUUCUUAUUAUUCCUAUAAUAUUUCUAUAUCUCCUCUUUUUCUUCUCAACUUUUCCCUCUUAAGAAAGAAGAGGGGGUUGGGGAUUUAGCUCAGUGGUAGAGCGCUUGCCUAGCAAGCAGAAGGCCCUGGGUUCAGUCCCCAGCCCCGAAAAAAAGAAAAAAGAAAAAGAAAAAGAAGAAAAAAAAGAAAAAGAAAAAAAAGAAGAAAAAGAAAGAAGAGUAAAGAAAAGGAAAGGGAAGAGAAAAAAAAGAAAUUAAUGAAUCUAACCUCCUAUUUCAUUUUCUCCCUGUCCAAGAUCAUAACUCUUGGUAACAGUCCCCUUAAGUGGUGACAACCUUCCAAUAUCCAACAAGUGACCAAAAUUCUCCACCCCGCCUUCUGCCAAUUUGGGGGUAUAGUUUUCUUUUGAGUGCCCUUCUUCUCCCAAUGGAAAACUCGUUAAGUCUUAGGAAAGCCAACUGUGGCAUUUGUUGUCCAUUCUCUGUGCUGAGAAAGUUCAGGCUUAAGUGAAGUCCCGAUUGGAUAAGUCUGUGAGGUUGGACCUACAGAGGUAACUGUUUUGAAGUUGUCUUGGAAGCAAAUCUUUAGAGGACCCAGAAUUGAUGGGAGUCUAAGGUAGGAUCAGGCAGGAAGCUAGAACAGUAAGUGUCAGCAUCUCAGGAUCCACAGGGUGAAUCUUGUCAGAGCUGUAUUCUUGGUUGUUUUUUUCUGCGCACAUAAAAUUUCCAGAGGCAAUAUAUAUUUCUGUAUUAUCAUAGUCUAUGGAAUGUGCAACGUUCAUAGAUCAGUUAAAGAUGCCUUUCUGCUCCCCGUUUAAACAAGUAAAAGAUAUCUGUCUUUCUUAAACUAGUUUGAAUUAUAAUCAAAAUUGCAGUAUAUCUUCAUCUGUGCCAUAUGAAAGGAUGGCAGAGUGGACCUUGAGGACUUUUGCAGCCAGAGAUUUAUUGGCCUUGUAUGGCUGAAGUUAUGACGGGAGACAUUUCAGACUUGAUCAUUUAAAGGGACCAGGUAUACAUUACAGAUCUUUUGGUUUUCUUCUUGUCUGUAGCCAUGAUCUUCAGGAUGUCUCCCCUUGUCAUGUCUGAUUUUUUUUUUAUCAAUUUGGAAGGAGCCCAUAGUUUUUUGUUUUUGUUUUUUUUUUAUUUUCUGUGGAAAUAGAGGCAUAACUCCUUUCCUAGCAUAACACAUUUCCUGUUUUCCAGUCUGACGUUAGAACAUCUUUAGUAAACUGGUUUAGUUUAGCAGAUUUUUCCCCCCAUAAUCCAAACUCUCAGCAGCUGUAGUUUUUGUUUGCUUGCAUUAAAAAAAAUCUAAGUUAGCAGAGCACUGUGUGCCCCUUAUGAUGACACCCACCUGGGUGAAGAAAACCAGGCAAACUGCACGGAGUAUCUGCCAGGUGUUGCUCCUCAGGGAACUGAUUUGCUCCAAAAGCAAAGAUGACUAGUUAGGUAAAGAUGACUAGUUAGGUAAAGAUGACUAGUUAGGUAAAGAUGACUAGUUAGGCAAAGAUGACUGACUAGUUAGGUAAGGAUAACUAGUUAGGUAAAGAUGACUAGUUAGGUAAAGAUGACUAGUUAGUUAGGUAAAGAUGACUAGUUAGGUAGGUAUUUUAGUUAUUGCUAGAGAUGCAGCAGAACAAGUACAGAAGGGCAUCUGGAUUAGGAAGUCUAUACCCCUUUAAGAGAAUGCACUGAAAUUCAGAGUGCGAAGGAACAACAGCACAAGGAAAACAUUUAUCACUAGCCAGUUUUGUUCCAUGAUUGAUAUAUCAGAGUACAGAACAAUAAAUGAACAUUUUUCCAGUUAGUAAAUAUAUUUUCAGAAUUUUUUUCAAUGUAUAGUUUUUUGAUUGCUUUGUAAUUUGAAUUUCAGAUAGUUUGUGAUCGUGAGUGUAGGCACGAGAGAUGUAGAUAUUUAACCAAGUGGAUGGUUAUUAGAAGGGUGGAUUAUUUGUGGUAAGGAUGUUCUUUCAGAAAUGCCAGCAUCAAGAGGAGCCGAGUACAACGCCACUGGUAUGAAGGAUGUGGAGAUAUUUGUAUCUGGGGUGUUCUGAUCUAUGACCUAAUAUAUUCAAAUUGAUGGUUGUUUGGUUUUUUUUUUUUUAGUGUGUUUUGUCCACUGACAAGUUUUAGCCAGUGUAACAAAUAUGACUAUUUGAUGAGUCCAUGUAUGUUUUAAUUCUCACUGUGUUUCUGCAUAUUAGACAGCAUAGGUCUUUGUGGAGUUUAGGGAUUAGGAAGCUGAAGGCUGAAAAAUUCUUUGAAGGUCAUAGUGUAGACAAUAGAGCUGGUACAUGAACUGACGUGAAAGAUGAAAUCUUAAUUUUCUUUGUGCCUCAAAUGGUCUUGUGGCACCUAAAGUAAAUCAGCUAGUUAACCACUCUACCCACCCACACAUUGCCUCUGGCAGGCUGGGCUUACUAAAUUUGCAGUAGGGUUGAAAUUCUUACAGACUACCAGUCAGAGCUGCUUGCUCUGAAUUUUAUGUUUUGUCAAUGUGAUGUCACACACACACACACACACACACACACACACACACACACACAUAUGCACACACACACACACGUGCACGCACAUGCAUGCACACACACACGCAUGCACACACACACGCAUGCACACACACACACACGCACGCAUGCACACACACAUGAACAUACAUCCAUUCUUUAAUGUUUAUUUAAGCCUGUUGGUAAGGCCCAGUAGUGACUUAUUUUGACACUGACCUACUCCAGCCUCUGUCCAUGGUGCCAGGGAGAAAAUUUUCAAGGCCAGGAAGCUACAUCCCCAGUGAAGAAAGCUGCUUUUAUGAUCUUUGCUUCUAAUAGUCAGUUUUGUUUAUUUUUACACAUUUUUGUCUGUCAUAGUUUACAUUCUUAUAAGGCAAAUAUCCAUACGAUUGCAUUACUUAUUAAAAUCUGAAUUGCAAAACUGGUCUGUUUUUAAAAAAAUCAAAGAUGUCUACUUGAAGAAGAUUUCGGGGCUGGAGAGACGGCUCAGCGGUUAAGAGCACUGACUGCUCUUCCACAGGUCCUGAGUUCAAUUCCCAGCAACCACAUGGUGGCUCACAGCCAUCUAUAAUAGGAUCUGAUGCCCUCUUCUGGUGUGUCUGAAGACAGCGACAGUGAACUCAUUAAAUAAAUAAACUUAAAAAAAAGGUUUCAGAAAGCUAAUCUUCUCAAUUUUCCGUCUUAUCCAGGAUGAUUAAGAGAACUGUUGGUGCUUGAAAGAACAAAUAAUGAGAAUCUCUGGCAUAUGUGUGAUUGGAGACUAAAGCUCAGGGUUUAUAGAAACUAGGCAAGUUUGUAACAGUGCUACAUUCAGGUCGCAUUAUUAGUAUCUUUCCGCGUUCCACAGAGGCAAGGCUUAUGUAGAAAUCUUAUAGUUAGAUAGUUAUGGCUGUACUUACUCCUGAAAACCUACCCUGUGCUCCAGGUAACAGACCUAAACUCAAAGAACCAUGUCUUUGACUAACGUAAAAAGGUCAGUGCUAGAGAGAUAUAAGGACCAGUGGUGGAGCAUUUGUUUUCCAUAAGUGAG